AGAGUUUGAUCAUGGCUCAGGACGAACGCUGGCGGCGUGCCUAAUACAUGCAAGUCGAGCGAAGUUUUUCUGGUGCUUGCACUAGAAAAACUUAGCGGCGAACGGGUGAGUAACACGUAAAGAACCUGCCUCAUAGACUGGGACAACUAUUGGAAACGAUAGCUAAUACCGGAUAACAGCAUUAACUGCAUGGUUGAUGUUUAAAAGUUGGUUUUGCUAACACUAUGAGAUGGCUUUGCGGUGCAUUAGCUAGUUGGUGGGGUAAAGGCCUACCAAGGCGACGAUGCAUAGCCGACCUGAGAGGGUGAUCGGCCACACUGGGACUGAGACACGGCCCAGACUCCUACGGGAGGCAGCAGUAGGGAAUCUUCCGCAAUGGGCGAAAGCCUGACGGAGCAACGCCGCGUGAGUGAAGAAGGAUUUCGGUUCGUAAAGCUCUGUUGUUAGGGAAGAAUGAUUGUGUAGUAACUAUACACAGUAGAGACGGUACCUAACCAGAAAGCCACGGCUAACUACGUGCCAGCAGCCGCGGUAAUAC
rnacentral:rRNA from 1 species